GUUUGUUUUACAAGUAAAUUUAAGUUAAGACGUGUAUAGGUGACUCUAUUGGUGAAGAGUUAAUAAAGCUGGCAGGAGCACUGCAGUUGUUUAUUAUUGCCAUGGGGUUUUGGACCUGAGUUGUGGAGUAUGUUCAUGGACUUGAUGAUAAGCAGUGGUUGUGACAAGUGGGAGUGGGCUCAUCAGAUUGAGAACAGCUUGGUGUACACAGGCUGGGAAAACAUUUUCCAACUAAUAACAUCUGAAAAGACAGACGCACACACAAGAAGAUGAACGGUUUCAUUACAAACAUUUUUUUCAUCUUAUUGAGCUGCCAGAUUGGUAAGAAAUCUUCCUGUGAUCAGUACGUUACCCAAAAAGGUAUUUGUAAGAAUAUAUUGAUUCACCAAAGUUCUAGAACACUCGGUGCUGGAGGCUGGCUGUGCUGUGUACACAUGGUAUAGCAGUGUGUGUGAUGGGGUGGCUGGCUGUGCUGUGUAUACAUGGUAUAGCAGUGUGUGUGAUGGGGAGGCUGGCUGGCUGUGCUGUGUAUACAUGGUAUAGCAGUGUGUGAUGGGGAGGCUGGCUGUGCUGUGUAUACAUGGUAUAGCUGUGUGUGAUGGGGAGGCUGGCUGUGCUGUGUAUACAUGGUAUAGCAGUGUGUGUGAUGGGGUGGCUGGCUGUGCUGUGUAUACAUGGUAUAGCAGUGUGUGUGAUGGGGAGGCUGGCUGUGCUGUGUACACAUGGUAUAGCAGUGUGUGUGAUGGGGAGGCUGGCUGUGCUGUGUAUACAUGGUAUAGCAGUGUGUGUUAUGGGGAGGCUGGCUGUGCUGUGUAUACAUGGUAUAGCAGUGUGUGAUGGGGAGGCUGGGCUGUGUAUACAUGGUAUAGCAGUGUGUGUGAUGGGGAGGCUGGCUGUGCUGUGUAUACAUGGUAUAGCAGUGUGUGAUGGGGAGGCUGGCUGUGCCGUGGCAUGGUAUAGCAGUGUGUGUGUGAUGGGGAGGCUGGCUGUGCCGUGUAUACAUGGUAUAGUAGUGUGUGAUGGGGAGGCUGGCUGUGUGUAUACAUGGUAUAGCAGUGUGUGUGAUGGGGAGGCUGGCUGUGCUGUGUAUACAUGGUAUAGCAGUGUGUGUGAUGGGGAGGCUGGCUGUGCGUGUGUAUACAUGGUAUAGCAGUGUGUGAUGGGGAGGCUGGCUGUGCUGUGUGUGUGAUGGGGAGGGUGGCUGUGCUGUGUAUACAUGGUAUAGCAGUGUGGUGAUAGUAUACAUGGUAUGUGUGUGAUGGGGAGGCUGGCUGUGCUGUGUAUACAUGGUAUAGCAGUGUGUGAUGGGGAGGCUGGCUGUGCUGUGUAUACAUGGUAUAGCAGUGUGUGUGAUGGGGUGGCUGGCUGUGCUGUGUAUACAUGGUAUAGCAGUGUGUGAUGGGGAGGCUGGCUGUGCUGUGUAUACAUGGUAUAGCAGUUAUAGCAGUGUAUGUGAUGGGGAGGCUGGCUGUGCUGUGUAUACAUGGUAUAGCAGUGUGUGUGAAUGGGAGGCUGGCUGUGCUGUGUAUACAUGGUAUAGCAGCGUGUGAUGGGGUGGCUGGCUGUGCUGUGAAUACAUGGUAUAGUGUGUGUGAUGGGGAGGCUGGCUGUGCUGUGUAUACAUGGUAUAGCAGUGUGUGUGAUGGGGAGGCUGGCUGUGCUGUGUAUACAUGGUAUAGCAGUGUGUGAUGGGGAGGCUGGCUGUGCUGUGUAUACAUGGUAUAGCAGAGUGUGUGAUGGGGAGGCUGGCUGUGCUGUGUAUACAUGGUAUAGCAGUGUGUGAUGGGGAGGCUGGCUGUGCUGUGUAUACAUGGUAUAGCAGUGUGUGAUGGGGAGGCUGGCUGUGCUGUGUAUACAUGGUAUAGCAGUGUGUGAUGGGGAGGCUGGCUGUGCUGUGUAUACAUGGUAUAGCAGUUAUAGCAGUGUAUGUGAUGGGGAGGCUGGCUGUGCUGUGUAUACAUGGUAUAGCAGUGUGUGUGAAUGGGAGGCUGGCUGUGCUGUGUAUACAUGGUAUAGCAGUGUGUGUGAUGGGGAGGCUGGCUGUGCUGUGUAUACAUGGUAUAGCAGUGUGUGAUGGGGAGGCUGGCUGUACUGUGUAUACAUGGUAUAGCAGUGUGUGAUGGGGAGGCUGGCUGUACUGUGUAUACAUGGUAUAGCAGUGUGUGAUGGGGAGGCUGGCUGUGCUGUGUAUACAUGGUAUAGCAGUGUGUGUGAUGGGGAGGCUGUCUGUGCUGUGUAUACAUGAUAUAGCAGUGUGUGUGAUGGGGAGGCUGGCUGUGCUGUGUAUACAUGAUAUAGCAGUGUGUGUGAUGGGGAGGCUGGCUGUGCUGUGUAUACAUGGUAUAGCAGUGUGUGUGAUGGGGAGGCUGGCUGUGCUCUGUAUACAUGGUAUAUCAGUGUGUGUGAUGGGGAGGAUUUGGGGUGGUGUAUACACAUGGCAUAGCAGUGUAUUAGGGGGUUUGGGAGCUGUGCAUACAUGAUAUAGUGCUGUGGGUGGGGGUAGUGGGUAUUUCCCUUCUCCCUAUGAAUUAUGGCUGUUCCCUCUUCCAGGUAAUUCUUUGAGAUGUUAUGCAUGUGUUGAAGAUAAAUGCACAAUAACCACAUGCAUCGCUGGACAGGCCUGCGGGAAAACUGUUAGAAAUGGUGGUAAGUAGCAAUGUCGUAACACUAAGUGAUUCAGGAAUUGCCCAUGUAUGUUUGCCCAUCAAUCCGCGGGGGCACUUUAGAAAUGGUGGUCUCUUUUCCGUUAUGUGAUAUCUCAGUUGUUGUACCAGUUUCUGUCCCAUGCUGACUGUAUUAACAUGUAGCACAGCGGAAUUCGAAAACAUUCUAAUGAAGCUUUAUCAAUAGCUGCUUCUAUUAAUCCCAUUAUUAUCUAUUGUUUUAUUAAGUGUGGAAAACUGAUGUGAGUAAGCCAGGAUCCGGGCCUUAUGUCUGCUAUGGACCUAUGAAAAAAGAAAAAAAAUAGUACUUUAUUUUACUUUAUCUAUGUAAUGCAUUUUUAACUUUGGAUUGCGUAGUAUUUUCUCUUUCUAUUCUGGAAGGUAAUUGUUCAACAAAACAUUUCUGGCCUAGACUUGGCUUUCCUUAGACAAGGUGAGAUUCCUUGUACAGAGUGAGCAUCUAAUGGAGAUUGAGCAACUAUAUCAACUGGUGUGUUAACCAACUGAACUAUCUUAAAGCUGCCCUCUCUAGAUAACCUUAGCAUGUAUUAUCUGUAGGCCAAUAUCACGUCAGUAAAAUCUGUAAAAGUUCAAAAUAGCAGAUAAAACAUCUAAUACGAUCCAGGAAGGCAUUUAAUUGAGUUGCCUAAAUGUAUUAAGAAGGACUGUUUUUCGGAAAUAUGCACCAAUUAUCUUGAUGUAAUAUCCUGGCUUCAGUUUGCAAAACAAAUUAGGGAUUUGCACGCUGUAAUCUACACAGAGUCAGACACAGGACUGUAUACAGUAAUUGGCUAGGGGCCAUAAAUAAUCACAUCCCUUUUUUGUGCAUAUUCCCUAUACACUUGAUUGGUGCGUUAGUGGAGGUACUGAUAGGGGAUGAAGCCCUGGGUUUAAUUUUGGCAUCAAUUCACUGUUCUCCAUGUAAGACUGGGAGAGAAAUAACACCUCCAGUUUUAUAAUCUGGGACAGCGCCCCUUUAAUGCACCAUAUUUAGAGUUAUUUAUACAGCACAGUGUGGGGGUCCUGCUAUUGGUGCACGGUUUCAUGGCUUAUACACAUGCCGGGGGGGUUAAUGGAGCAGAUAUGGAAUUUAUAAAUGUAGCUUUAUGUAAUAUGUUGAAUUUUGUCGCGAUGUGAUUACAAGACGUUACGGUUUAGGGUAUUGUAUAAGGCUGAUUUCAGUAGGGAAUUAUUUCAAUGAACGUGGAAUGAGUCGUAAUAUAUAACCUUGGGCUGGAGUCUAGUCUUUUCCCAUCUAAUAAAAUUCUGGCACAUAAGCUCUCCACCUUUUUAUAGCUUUAUUUUUAUUAAUAAUAUUAUUUAAUUAUAAAAAUAUUGAUGGUUAUACAUUUUAGCCUGAGUUACUGCGCUAUUUAUGCUACUUUAAAUAAAAAUGAACCACUUUCUACUUUCUCUGCAAGUUACAUACAUUUCAAAACGUUAAAAAGAUACAAAUGCAUAGCCAACAACCAAACAAUUAAGGAAUUGAAAUUAAGUGCCAUGUCCUACGUUUUAAGGGACAGUAACGUAAAAGAAAAAAAAACCUCUCUUAAUGGAUGCUUCAAUGUAUCUGUGUUAAAUAUCAUUACUUUCUGUAUUAUUUUGUUUGUAAAUUACGUUCAGAUCAAUGUCUCCCUUAAUAUUGUAAAACGUUGUGUAAUAAGUUGGCAGUUUAUAAAUAAUGAUCAUAGUAAUCAUUUUUCCCCCUAGUACAUGCCAAAAUGUGCGUCCCUCAACAAAUCUGUGAUUUUUCUGUUAAUGAAGUGAAAACUUACUGCUGCCACUCUGACCUUUGUAACUCGGCUGUACCUGCCAGGAUGUCCUUUGUCACCGUUAUUGCCGCACUUGUAGCCCUGUGGGUGAAUAUGCAAUGAAAAAGAAGAUCAACCUCUCAACCGGGUUCAUGGAGUAGCAUCUGAGACCAGUUAAUCGCGGAUCCCCUGUCAUUUAUACAAUCUGCCUCUAUUCCACGUCUUUCAGCCUUGUAACUUUUUCUCUAGAAUAUUCGCCACCAUCACUUCAUCUUUCUCACGGUGCCCCUGGCCAGAUACUCUCAAGAUGACUCCACUCUGUCCCGCUGCUUUGAAUACAAAAAAAUAAAUAAAUACAAAAAAAUUAUUCUUUA